rnacentral:rRNA from 1 species
GAUGAACGCUGGCGGCGUGCCUAAUACAUGCAAGUCGAGCGAACAGAUAAGGAGCUUGCUCCUUUGACGUUAGCGGCGGACGGGUGAGUAACACGUGGGUAACCUAUCUAUAAGACUGGAAUAACUCCGGGAAACCGGGGCUAAUGCCGGAUAACAUGUUGAACCGCAUGGUUCUACAGUGAAAGGCGGCUUUGCUGUCACUUAUAGAUGGACCCGCGCCGUAUUAGCUAGUUGGUGAGGUAACGGCUCACCAAGGCAACGAUCCGUAGCCGACCUGAGAGGGUGAUCGGCCACACUGGAACUGAGACACGGUCCAGACUCCUACGGGAGGCAGCAGUAGGGAAUCUUCGGCAAUGGGCGAAAGCCUGACGGAGCAACGCCGCGUGAGUGAUGAAGGUCUUCGGAUCGUAAAACUCUGUUAUUAGGGAAGAACAAAUGCGGAAGUAACUGUGCGCGUCUUGACGGUACCUAAUCAGAAAGCAACGGCUAACUACGUG